rnacentral:hammerhead_ribozyme from 1 species
CGUCGGUCUGGACUUGGACAACUCCAUUGAUGAGUCUGUGACAAAACAAAAUCAUUGACCAAUAUCAUUAAACAGGACGAAACAUGCG